GACGAACGCUGGCGGCGUGCCUAAUACAUGCAAGUCGAGCGGAGCGGAGGAAGCUUGCUUCCAAAGCUUAGCGGCGAACGGGUGUGUAACACGUGGGCAACCUGCCUGACAGACUGGGAUAACUUGGGGAAACUCAAGCUAAUACCGGAUAGGAUCACGAAUCGCAUGGUUUGUGAUGGAAAGUCUGAACGACACUGUAAGAUGGGCCCGCGGCGCAUUAGCUAGUUGGUGGGGUAAUGGCCUACCAAGGCGACGAUGCGUAGCCGACCUGAGAGGGUGACCGGCCACACUGGGACUGAGACACGGCCCAGACUCCUACGGGAGGCAGCAGUAGGGAAUCUUCCACAAUGGGCGAAAGCCUGAUGGAGCAACGCCGCGCGAGUGAUGAAGGUUUUCGGAUCGUAAAACUCUGUUGUUAGGGAAGAACACCCGGGAGAGGAUCCCGGAUUGACGGUACCUAACGAGAAAGCCCCGGCUAACUACGUGCCAGCAGCCGCCGUAAAAC
rnacentral:rRNA from 1 species